GGGUUGUGAGGUUAAGCGACUAAGCGUACACGGUGGAUGCCCUGGCAGUCAGAGGCGAUGAAGGACGUGCUAAUCUGCGAAAAGCGUCGGUAAGGUGAUAUGAACCGUUAUAGCCGGCGAUGUCCGAAUGGGGAAACCCAGUGUGAUUCGUCACACUAUCGUUAACUGAAUACAUAGGUUAACGAGGCGAACCGGGGGAACUGAAACAUCUAAGUACCCCGAGGAAAAGAAAUCAACCGAGAUUCCCCCAGUAGCGGCGAGCGAACGGGGAGCAGCCCAGAGUCUGAAUCAGCUUGUGUGUUAGUGGAACGGUCUGGAAAGUCCGACGGUACAGGGUGAUAGUCCCGUACACCAAAAUGCACAGGUUGUGAACUCGAAGAGUAGGGCGGGACACGUGGUAUCCUGUCUGAAUAUGGGGGGACCAUCCUCCAAGGCUAAAUACUCCUGACUGACCGAUAGUGAACCAGUACCGUGAGGGAAAGGCGAAAAGAACCCCGGCGAGGGGAGUGAAAAAGAACCUGAAACCGUGUACGUACAAGCAGUGGGAGCACCUUUAUGGUGUGACUGCGUACCUUUUGUAUAAUGGGUCAGCGACUUAUAUUCUGUAGCAAGGUUAACCGUAUAGGGGAGCCGCAGGGAAACCGAGUCUUAACUGGGCGUUAAGUUGCAGGGUAUAGACCCGAAACCCGGUGAUCUAGCCAUGGGCAGGUUGAAGGUUGGGUAACACUAACUGGAGGACCGAACCGACUAAUGUUGAAAAAUUAGCGGAUGACUUGUGGCUGGGGGUGAAAGGCCAAUCAAACCGGGAGAUAGCUGGUUCUCCCCGAAAGCUAUUUAGGUAGCGCCUCGUGAACUCAUCUUCGGGGGUAGAGCACUGUUUCGGCUAGGGGGUCAUCCCGACUUACCAACCCGAUGCAAACUACGAAUACCGAAGAAUGUUAUCACGGGAGACACACGGCGGGUGCUAACGUCCGUCGUGAAGAGGGAAACAACCCAGACCGCCAGCUAAGGUCCCAAAGUCAUGGUUAAGUGGGAAACGAUGUGGGAAGGCACAGACAGCCAGGAUGUUGGCUUAGAAGCAGCCAUCAUUUAAAGAAAGCGUAAUAGCUCACUGGUCGAGUCGGCCUGCGCGGAAGAUGUAACGGGGCUAAACCAUGCACCGAAGCUGCGGCAGCGACACUAUGUGUUGUUGGGUAGGGGAGCGUUCUGUAAGCCUGCGAAGGUGACCUGUGAGGGUUGCUGGAGGUAUCAGAAGUGCGAAUGCUGACAUAAGUAACGAUAAAGCGGGUGAAAAGCCCGCUCGCCGGAAGACCAAGGGUUCCUGUCCAACGUUAAUCGGGGCAGGGUGAGUCGACCCCUAAGGCGAGGCCGAAAGGCGUAGUCGAUGGGAAACAGGUUAAUAUUCCUGUACUUGGUGUUACUGCGAAGGGGGGACGGAGAAGGCUAUGUUAGCCGGGCGACGGUUGUCCCGGUUUAAGCAUGUAGGCUGGUUAUCCAGGCAAAUCCGGAUAAUCAAGGCUGAGGUGUGAUGACGAGG
rnacentral:rRNA from 1 species